UCAAUCUCGUGCGGCUAGAAGCCGCCUGUCCCUCUAAGAAGAAUUGUUUGUACGCCGACAGUAAAAACCGCGCACAACGAGAAGCCGAAGCAACUCGCUGGCGGGCCUUUGGGAUGUCGAAAUACGCCUAGUUAGCAGGCUAGAGUCUCGUUCGUUAU
rnacentral:rRNA from 1 species